AGAAUCAACGCUGGCGGCGUGCCUAACACAUGCAAGUCGAACGAGAAAGUGGAGCAAUCCAUGAGUAAAGUGGCGCACGGGUGAGUAACACGUGACUACCUACCCUUGAGUGGGGGAUAACCUAGGGAAACCUGGGCUAAUACCGCAUAAUACCUACGGGUCAAAGGAGCAAUUCGCUUAAGGAGGGGGUCGCGGCCGAUUAGUUAGUUGGCGGGGUAAUGGCCCACCAAGACGAUGAUCGGUAU
rnacentral:rRNA from 1 species